rnacentral:rRNA from 1 species
GGUGAACGUUGGCGGCGCGUCUAAUACAUGCAAGUCGAGCGAGGCUUCGAGCCGAGCGGCGGACGGCUGAGUAACACGUUGGUAGCUACCCCGUACUCAGGGAUAACACUGAGAAAUCAGUGCUAAUACCGGAUGGUCCCGAAAGGGUAAAGAUUUAUCGGUACGGGAGGUGCCUGCGGCCUAUCAGCUAGUUGGUGAGGUAAUGGCUCACCAAGGCUAUGACGGGUAACUGGUCUGAGAGGACGACCAGUCAGAGGGAAACUGAGACACGGUUCCCACUCCUACGGGAGGCAGCAGUAAAGAAUCUUCCGCAAUGGACGCAAGUCUGACGGAGCGACGCCGCGUGCAGGAUGAAGGCCUUCGGGUCGUAAACUGCUUUUCUGAGGGAAUAAUUCUGAAUGUACCUCAGGAAUAAGCACCGGCAAAUCACGUG